CCCAAGCUUCUCCUCCUCCUUCCCCCUAAUAAGUAGCCACCGUUCUGAUUUGAUGACAAUCACUUCUUGCUGGACUUCACAUGUUUUUCCACUAUGGUUUGACUUUGCCGGUGUGUCUCUCUAUUUUUCACCCUGGGUCAAUUUCCUGGAGUUUUCAAGGCUGGACUAUUGGGUGCGUGAUCCAGGCCACCCGUUCCCUCUGUGCCCCACUCCUCCUCCCAGGCGCCCAGCCCACAGCCCACAGCCCACACUUCACCCUAUAGAGAGUCAGGCUGGGGAGGCCGCAGGCUGGCCGUUCACAGAGGGGAAUUCCUUCUCCACCCCUCGCUGCUGCACAGCCUCGGGGAAGGUUAUUCAGUGCUUUAGGCUCCAGUGUCUCCUCUAUGAAGUGAGCUCUCGGGAAGGCUGAAUGUUGUAAUGCUUGGAGAGGGUCUGACUUUCCUUCUCGAACCUUCCCACCUCCCUGCUUGGCUAUUUCUAUUCCUGGCACCUGGCAUGCUUUUUCCUUCCCUUUGCACAGAUUCUUGGAUUUCUCCAUCACAGCCCAAUCCAAAUGCAUUUAUGACCCUCUGCCCGAUGACUUACUCUUCCAGAUUUAUUUCUCAUGCUGCAUCCCUACAUUCUAAAAGGCUAACAAAAGCCUCUGCUAUUCAUUGGGCCUGCAGGCUCUUUCGAAGUAUUAUCCACCAUCAACUAGAAGUGGAUUAUAGCUCU
rnacentral:lncRNA from 10 species